CAGUAGCCGCGGUAAUACGUAGGUGGCAAGCGUUGUCCGGAAUUAUUGGGCGUAAAGGGCUCGCAGGCGGUUUCUUAAGUCUGAUGUGAAAGCCCCCGGCUCAACCGGGGAGGGUCAUUGGAAGCUGGGAAACUUGAGUGCAGAAGAGGAGAGUGGAAUUCCACGUGUAGCGGUGAAAUGCGUAGAGAUGUGGAGGAGCACCAGUGGCGAAGGCGACUCUCUGGUCUAUAACUGACGCUGAGGAGCGAAAGCGUGGGGAGCGAACAGGAUUAGAUACCCGAGUAGUCCCUGUCUCUUAUAC
rnacentral:rRNA from 1 species